rnacentral:rRNA from 1 species
AGUGAACGCUGGCGGUAGGCCUAACACAUGCCAGUCGAACGGCAGCACAGUAAGAGCUUGCUCUUACGGGUGGCGAGUGGCGGACGGGUGAGGAAUACAUCGGAAUCUACUUUUUCGUGGGGGAUAACGUAGGGAAACUUACGCUAAUACCGCAUACGACCUACGGGUGAAAGCAGGGGAUCUUCGGACCUUGCGCGAUUGAAUGAGCCGAUGUCGGAUUAGCUAGUUGGCGGGGUAAAGGCCCACCAAGGCGACGAUCCGUAGCUGGUCUGAGAGGAUGAUCAGCCACACUGGAACUGAGACACGGUCCAGACUCCUACGGGAGGCAGCAGUGGGGAAUAUUGGACAAUGGGCGCAAGCCUGAUCCAGCCAUACCGCGUGGGUGAAGAGGGCCUUCGGGUUGUAAAGCCCUUUUGUUGGGAAAGAAAAGCAGCAGGUUAAUACCCCGCUGUUCUGACGGUACCCAAAGAAUAAGCACCGGCUAACUUCGU